GUGUGUGUGUGUGUGUGUGUGUGUGUGUGUAAAGUGCAUUGUCAUUUGAAGUUUUCUCAGUGUAAGAGCUUGCUUGCAACUGCAGACCUAUAUUUGGUUCGUUAGAAAUAACUGAAGUUAUUGCAGGGCCGGUGGACAGUAAACACCAGUGUGGAUUCCACAUUCUGUCCGUUGCACGCAAAAAAAAAUGAUUUGCACUAAAAAAAGAAACGGAAAUCUCACGUGCACAGGGAAAAAAAUAAGCUGUAUAUACAAAGCGGUUGCGAUUUGGUGUCAAUCAUGUUGAACGACUUCAAACGUGAACGCCAUAUUCGCGACUGCUUCCCCCAGUCUGAUGCACGCGGAGCGGGCUACUAGUUAUAAAACGAUGAACACGAUGAUGUCAAGUGUGAUCAUCUCGUCGCGCGCAGCCUGGCUCUGUCGUGCAUCUCGAAAUAGAUCAAAGUCACAAGAGUUUACGUGUAAAUGGGCAUCAGGUAAAAUAGGCUACAAACGGGGAGGGGUUGGAGAGGAGCUUUUUAUUUCCAUGUGGAGCGUCUGUCUGCGUUCGCAGCAUCGAAUGCGCGCGUGAAAAGAAAAAAACAGCAUUUGAUAAGAACGCGCCUUUAAUUAAAGACAGCCGGGAAUUAUUACCCACGACCCAAUCGUCGCUCUUAUGUAAGGGUGCCGAGGCUUUUUCGAGCGCCAAUGGCUGAACGAAUGACCUUGAGAUGGGAAACCACUGGGAAGCGAUGCAGAAUAACGAUCCGUGAUCUUUAACUGAGGAAUUAUCGGACUUCGCCGCGGAGAUCUGUUGAAGCGCAUCGACCGCGUCACCGUCCGCGCGUUUGCUUUAGACGCCGUUUAUGCAUCACGAGCCUUUUGGUGUGACAGAAUAUGUGCGGAACACCAUUUGCAUAUACGUGCAACCGAGCCUGCUAACGUUUAACACCCCUAACUGGCAUUUCCCCGCGUCUUUAUUGACGCGCCAGCGUGAUUUUGGACCGUUGCGCGGGAGCCCGCAGAGAAAAGACGCAGUCCCUUUUGCCUGUGCCAUUGCACUGUGCUCAAAUCACAUCAAAAAAAAAAAUCUCUCAAGUGAGGCUGAGGAGCAUCGGCGCAUCUCUCAGAUUCAAUGCACGACACCAAAGAUGAAGCAGGGUUUCCUUCUUACCUGCCGUGACGUUUAGCGAGCGGCGAGCGAAUGGGCGAAAGCCGCAGGACGGUGUGGGCCGGUGGGACUCGAGUGAAUCACUGGGGUUCACUGAACACGACGGCGGAGCAGAAUAAUCCCCGGGAUCCGGUGACUCAGCUGGGUUUAGAGAAGUCAAGAGGAAUCGAGUUUAGCCAAGAAUGCAGUGCUUGAGUGACGAAAACACCAGGGAGAUCGAGCGUCAGAACAGCGACACGUAACUCCUUCCACGUCCUUUUCACGCUCUGUCGGUGGGUUCAAGGGUUUUAAUUUCAGCGCUUUUCAGAAUAUCUUUGUUCCACGGAAAAAAGGAAACCGUUUACAACAGAAAAACGCGUGUUAUUAACACUUGAGGGAAAGUAGCUGUACCGUAUGUUUUCUUUUAAUCACACAGCUAAUUGUGUUUUUAGAGAAACACGUCUAAUCAGGUUUGAAUGCACUCGAACAACUUUUUUACUUUGAAUUAUUUUUCUGAAACAAUGCUUUUGUUUAGCAAAGGUGCAUUAAAAUGAUGUUAGAAAUGUUUUGUUUGUCAAAUAAAUGCUGCUCUUUUGAACUUUACACCAUAUUGAGGAACGAUGCUGAAAAAAUUGCCAAAUGUUCUUCUAUAAAACGUGCAUUUACUUACCUCCUUACAAUCACUAAAUACAUUGACUACACAUAAAUACGUAUCCUUAUGAAUACUGAAAUCGGGGCGUUAAUUUUAAUUUUUUAGUUUGCAGCUGCAUUAAACCGUUUACUUAAUAUGAAAUGAUAGCAAAAACAGGCCUUUAUAAAACAGAAAUGCGCGUUUUAUGCUUGUAAAUGUUACUUAUCCAUACCAACGUAUAAACAUGAGAUCGGGCUGGAAUUGCAGGAAUGAAUUACAAUUUGAAACAUAUCAAAAUAGAAAGCUGUUAUUCUAAAUAUUUCACAAUAUUCCUGCUUUGAUCAAACUAUUUUGAUCAGUGCGUAUGAUGAUGAAGGUUUAAACGUUUUAUAGACCCCAAAUCUUGGUAGUGUACAUAUCAGCAAAUAAAUAAGCAUAAUAUAACCAUGUUUUUUUAAUCUCGUUGUAAACUUUGCUGUUGCGUAGCUGUUGAACUGUAUUCGGUUCCCGCCGUUCCAAUUCGAAUUCAAAUCAAAUUUCAGCCAUUAUUUCGAAAUAGAACGUUCUGAGAACGUUUAAUAGAACGUUGUAUUAAAAUGAUGUCAGGUACAGGAAUGGUGCUUCUGGAGGUGACAUCACUAUUCCUGGCUUCAGCUGCCAAUGGGAGAAUAAGCUUUCAGUAUACAGCCAUAAUGUCUAAUUAUAAGUAAAGAAGAUCCUCCGGGUCAGCUGGCAUUUAAUCAAUAACAGACGUGAUGGAUGAAUGCGGCGGCUGCUUUAAAGAGCAGUGCGGAGAAUAGAAAGAGGAUGAUAAAUAGAUAAUAGAAUUCACUGUAGCCGCGUGGAAAUCCAUUUUGAGCAAAACCGAGCGUGGCAUACAUGGGAUUUUAAAAGCUCCUUCUUCGUAACCGUCGCUUGGGGUGAGACCGAGGAGAGCGGUUCGAAAGCUCCGCGUCGGCCUCCUCGAGAAGGUCUUAGGGCCCGUGUCGUUCCUGUCCGUCUGCGGGGCCGAACGAGCCGCUCAAUGAAACUGAUUGCAUUUCACUCCUGUUGUUUGGCCUUUGUGUUGAACCCACAAGAGCGCGCAGUAGAUCUAUAGACAACAAACAGAGAAUAUCGACAUGGCAGGUUACCGGCCAUUAGGAUUCACUCGCUACAUCCGUGAUUUCUAGCAUGAUUAACAGGCCUGGGAAAUGUGCUGGAAGGGAAUAUUCUCUAAACUAGUACAGGACCGUCGCUGUAUAAUGCACCUUUAAAGUGCUAAAAUGGCUUUUAUCACCUCGGUGACAGCUUCGUAACUCUUUCUUAUGAGAGUGUGCUGAAACUGCUCUUGGUGAGCGCGAUCUGCAUGAGUAAUACUGUGAAGUAAACUCAAAAAUAUCAUAUAUAUAUAUAUAUAUGGCUGGGAAUCGUAAAUCACGUAAUUCAGCCCAUUUGAAAGCAUGCUCGUUGAAUUUCAUCAAAUAAAAGAGUUAUUUUUUAAGCGCAUUUUUAUUUGAUUCAUUGUUAGUGAAAAAAUUUACUGAAGAUUUCUGGGUGAAAAACACAUGACGGCAAUUUUCGAAAAAAAUGUAAUUGCUAAAUUUCACAAUUACAAAGAAAUGUCACGUGAUGCAUUGAAUUAAAUAACAUGGUUUUUUUUUCAAGCUUUCUUCGUCUGUUAAUUAGGUCAGCAUUAUUAAAUUGACUUUACAUUAGCAUGCUUGAUCAGGUAUAUCAUAAGAUAUGGGUUUAUUUCAAUUCUUUUGAUCAGCAAGGAUGCAAACCGAUUAAAAGUCACAGUAACUGUGUUUCUUAUAUUCUACAAAAGAUCUUUCAAAUUAAUGCUAAUCCUUUGAACUAUUAAUAAAAUAUAAAGACUGAAA